rnacentral:rRNA from 3 species
AGUCAUAUGCUUGUCUCAAAGAUUAAGCCAUGCAUGUCUCAGUACAAGCCAAAUUAAGGUGAAACCGCGAAAGGCUCAUUAAAUCAGUUAUGGUUCCUUAGAUCGUACCCACACUUACUUGGAUAACUGUGGUAAUUCUAGAGCUAAUACAUGCAAAUAGAGCUCCUACCGGAGACGGACGGAGCGCUUUUAUUAGAUCAAAACCAAUCGGUGCAAGCCGUACAACUUGGUGACUCUGAAUAACUUGUUGCUGAUCGCACGGUCUCGAACCGGCGACGCAUCUUUCAAAUGUCUGCCUUAUCAACUGUCGAUGGUAGGUUCUGCGCCUACCAUGGUUGUAACGGGUAACGGGGAAUCAGGGUUCGAUUCCGGAGAGGGAGCCUGAGAAACGGCUACCACAUCCAAGGAAGGCAGCAGGCGCGCAAAUUACCCACUCCCGGCACGGGGAGGUAGUGACGAAAAAUAACGAUACGGGACUCAUCCGAGGCCCCGUAAUCGGAAUGAGUACACUCUAAACCCUUUAACGAGGAUCAAUUGGAGGGCCAGUCUGGUGCCAGCAGCCGCGGUAAUUCCAGCUCCAAUAGCGUAU